CACCAAUAGCAGUUGAAGCUGCCAGCAUGAUCUAAGCUUUUCUGUUGCCCACCCUUUCUCCAGGAAAGACUAGAUCAUGUGGCAGUUUCACCUGUUGAUGGA
rnacentral:pre_miRNA from 11 species